rnacentral:tRNA from 1 species
GUCUCUGUAGUUCAGUUGGUUAGAGCGCUGCACCGGAAUCGCAGGGCCGCAGGUUCAAUUCCUGCCAGGGACC